GCCUAGCUUACCUGGCGAAGGGCUUGUGGCGGUUGGAGUGGAGGUGGUUGUGGUGGGAGUGGAGGUGGUGGUGGAUGUGGCGGUGGUGGGAGUGGGUGUGGUGGUGGUGGAGGUGGCGGUGGUGGGAGUGGCGGUGGUGGUGGUGGAGGUGAUGGAGGAGGUGGUGAUGGGGCUGGUGGUUGGCGCGGGGGAGGUUGUCAGCACUGCGUCUGCAUGGGUCAACAUCGUCGCCGUGCUGGUCGGGGGGAUCGGCUGGUGAAUCCCUCGGUUGGCGCUGCUCUCUGGAGCCAUCUGAUUGGUCGAGGUGACGCUUUGGAGGGGGGCUGACGAGCCACAUCAAGGGACCAGGUCAAGUUUUUUUUUUUUUUCCAUGCAGAGCCAGGAUUGGUCUAGUGAGAGGGCGGGACUCUUCUGGGUGUUAG
ensembl:lncRNA